ACUCCUACGGGAGGCAGCAGUGGGGAAUAUUGGACAAUGGGGGCGAACCCUGAUCCAGCCAUGCCGCGUGAGUGAAGAAGGCCCUAGGGUCGUAAAGCUCUUUCAACUGUGAAGAUAAUGACGGUAGCAGUAGAAGAAACCCCGGCCUAACUCCGUGCCAGCAGCCGCGGUAAUACGGAGGGGUUAGCGUUGUUCGGAAUUACUGGGGCGUAAAGCGCACGUAGGCGGACUAUUAAGUUAGAGGUGAAAUCCCAGGGGCUCAACCCUGGAACUGCCUUUAAUACUGGUAGUCUUGAGUUCGAGAGAGGUGAGUGGAAUUCCGAGUGUAGAGGUGAAAUUCGUAGAUAUUCGGAGGAACACCAGUGGCGAAGGCGGCUCACUGGCUCGAUACUGACGCUGAGGUGCGAAAGUGUGGGGAGCAAACAGGAUUAGAUACCCUGGUAGACUGUCA
rnacentral:rRNA from 1 species